CAUUACUAUUAUUAUUAUUAUUAUUACCCAAACUUUUUUCCGUUUCAUAAGCUAAUUUGAUUCCUUCCGAUUUCAACAAGUUCGAUAUUCUUACCUUCACCCGCCUGAAGAUGCUGCUGUUAUAGCGAAACACUUGUCGUCGUUAGUUAACCCAUAUUAGUGAAAAUGAUGUAAUUCAGUAUUUAGUUUAAUUAUUGAUUUUCAUCCGGUAUCGCCACAUCCGUUAGAUAUAAAAACUCUUCGUCAAGCAGGCUAUCGAAUUUGGAAGGUCGCUGAAACGUUUGAUCAGCUUCUACUAUAACUUUACUAUAAAGUUGGCGUUUCGGAUUUACUGAAAGUCUGCUACGAAUUUGAAAGUUUUCAUAUGUGGAAACUUGGUAAGUUGUAUUGUUGUAUCAAUCAGAGGCGGAUCCAGGAUUCGAUUAUUGGGGGGCACAACCCUCCCCUCCAUUUCCCGUCUCUCCCUACCUAAAAUUUUCUAUUCUUAUCUGAAAAAAUACUUCUUUAUAGUAAUCCACGAACAUCUUUAGGCUUCUUCUGUUCUUAAGAUAAAGUGAAAAAAAAAAAAAACGGUUAUCGGUCAAUAAGAGAAGUCAUAACACGAAAAUAUAUAACGAAAUAUGUAGUCGCAUUCAGAGACGGAUUCAGAUCUCCCAGAUUCGAGUUUUGGUGGACUAUUCGAAUCCACUGAGGCAAAUUUUCGGAAAUUGGUGUUAAAAUCAUAUCAAAAUUUAGUGCAAGUGAGGAUAGAAUUUUUGGGGAGGCACGUCCCACCUGUGCCCCCCCUGCCCUGUGCCCCUGAAUCCGCUACUGGUAUCAAUUUAAUUGAAGGUUUUCCAUCAAGUAUCGGUCACAACCAUGAAUUCUUAUUAUUAAUGAUCCAGAAGAAAUUCUGGUCAUUGUUUCCAUGGUCUGUAUAGCAAUAACAUAAAAAACACAUAAUACAUAAUAUUAUUAAUGCCUGAUCUGUGAGUAUAAAGAAGAAAUAAUAGAUUGGAAAUAACAUUUCAUUCAGAACGCACAAUGAAUUUCAACUUGCUGUGGUUUUUUGUAACAAUCAUUUCUGUCAUGGUUUCCGUGAAAGCGACUGAUGAUCUGAAUGCAGUGAAUGCACAAGAUGAACCAGCUGACGGUCGCGGUAGAAUGUAUUUC